rnacentral:rRNA from 1 species
AUUGAACGCUGGCGGCAUGCCUUACACAUGCAAGUCGAACGGUAACAGGUCUUCGGAUGCUGACGAGUGGCGAACGGGUGAGUAAUACAUCGGAACGUGCCCGAGAGUGGGGGAGAAGGAGGCGAAAGCUUUGCUAAUACCGCAUACGAUCUCCGGAUGAAAGCAGGGGACCGCAAGGCCUUGCGCUCCCGGAGCGGCCGGUGGCAGGUUGGGGAGUUGGUGGGAUAAAAGCUUACCAAGCCGACGAUCUGUAGCUGGUCUGAGAGGACGACCAGCCACACUGGGACUGGGACACGGCCCAGACUCCUACGGGAGGCAGCAGUGGGGAAUUUUGGACAAGGGGCGCAAGCCUGAUCCAGCCAUGCCGCGUGCAGGAUGGAGGCCUUCGGGUUGUAAACUGCUUUUGUACGGAACGAAAAGACUCCUUCUAAUAAAGGGGGUCCAUGACGGUACCGUAAGAAUAAGCACCGGCUAACUACGUGCCAGCCGCCGCCGUAACAC